rnacentral:rRNA from 1 species
UACGGGAGGCAGCAGUGGGGAAUAUUGCACAAUGGGCGAAAGCCUGAUGCAGCUAUGCCGCGUGUAUGAAGAAGGCCUUAGGGUUGUAAAGUACUUUCAUCGGGGAGGAAAAACAAAACUAAUAAUUUUAUUUCUUGACGUUACCCGAAAAAGAAGCACCGGCUAACUCCGUGCCAGCAGCCGCGGUAAUACGGAGGGUGCUAGCGUUAAUCAGAAUUACUGGGCGUAAAGAGCACGUAGGUGGUUUUUUUAAGUCAGAUGUGAAAUCCCUGGGCUUAACCUAGGAACUGCAUUUUGAAACUGAAAUACUAGAGUAUCGUAGAGGGAGGUAGAAUUCUAGGUGUAGCGGUGAAAUGCGUAGAUAUCUGGAGGAAUACCUGUGGCGAAAGCGGCCUCCUAAACGAAUACUGACACUGAGGUGCGAAAGCGUGGGGAGCAAACAGGGAUUAGGAUACC